CCAUAGCAACCAGGUCAGCUGGACCAACAACAGUAAAAUAAUUAAUCUCUUUUGUCCCAGACACACUGGUCCAGAGGCUGGUAUCUCUCUCUGCCUGGUGAAGACAGUCGUGUUCUCUGUCGGUCUGGUCAUCAUGGUGUCUGCUGUCAUCAGUGUCCAUCUCAUGGAGAAGCUCAAGAGGCACAAAUAAUCAAACAGUUCUCUACUGAUCAACUUCACAUGUGUCUCACAGUCUUAUCUAAAUGUAAAGUUAAAGGUGGCCUGUGUGGUCUUUGACCACUGGGAGCACUUUUCUUUUUUCUAGGUGGGUCCUUCUCUUGUAUUAUGCAUGUGCACAAGAAAUGUAGCAAAGCACCGACAAAGUGAAGGAGGGAGAAGACUGCAGACAUAGAUGUAAACAAUUCAGGGUUUUAUUUUAUCAGCUUUGAAAAUGCAUGUAAAGCUUUUCUCAGGUGUCAAAGAUACUCACAAUAUGUAAAUGUUGUUUCUUUGCAAUUUUCUUUCUUAAUAUUUAAUACAAAUGCAAAUUACUCUUGAUUGUUCAUUGAUUAUACCUAAUACUGUUAAAAAUGUUAGUGGGGUUGUUUUCUUGAAAAAAUAACAAAAAAUAUAACUUCAAAUAAUACACUAUAUGUCACACUGCAUGAAGUCAUAUUUACAACAUUCUUAAAAAGAUUGCACUUACAUCUGUUUUGUAAAUUCCAUGUUCUUUAGACCAAAUAAUUGAUAGUUUUUUAAACCAUGUUUUAAUGUCUGGGUAAACUAAGUAAAGCAGUUUCUUAUAUUUGCAACAUUACAUUUAUUAAAUCUAUAAGCCUCUCUCA